rnacentral:ncRNA from 1 species
UGGUUCAUGUGCUUGGCUGAUAAGCCAAUGGUGCGAAGCUACCAUCUGAGGGAUUAUGACUGAACGCCUCUAAGUCAGAAUCCCGCCUGGAAAGCGACGAUGCAUUCGUGCCUCGGCCUCGAGAGGCGUAGCUAGACGGCCGCGUGGCCGUGGAAAGAGCCCGAUUCCGACCCGAGAGGCCGCGGCAAGAGGCGGCCUCGAAGUCGGUGGAUCCUCCUGCUCGAAAGGCGGGGUGCUAAACCAUUCGCAGACGACCUAGUUGAAGAUCGGGGUGUCGUGAUCACUAGAGCAGUACAUCUCACUGCGAUUUGUUGAGAGUAAGCCUCAAGAUCUGUCGGUUUGU